ACAAAAGAACAGUUUUAUCACUAAUAUAAUUACUAUAAAUUUCUAAAUAUUUUACAAAUUUUGAAUUUAUUAUACCAACAUUGAAAUUACAAUGAUCUUUCAUUCUUGAAAUUAAGAUUAACAAAUUCAUCUUCCUGUUACUUUAAUCUUAAUAAACAUAAUCUUGCGAGAGUGAACAGAAAUAGAUAUUGGAAACGUUUGUUGUUUUUUUUAAAUUUGCCAUCUUUUUGUAAGACAUUAAUUGGACUAAUAAAUAAAGCUACAAUACUAUAGGCAAUAAUGCUUAUACCCAUAUGCAGACUUCUUAAAUUUCAAGCCAAUUUGUUUGAGGAUAUAUAAGAUUUAAAUGAAGAAUUUUGUCUUUAAGUAAAUUAAUUAAAAAUAUAUAUAUAAAACUAAUUUAUAAUAACAGCAAUUACUGUAUCGGUACAUAUGUAAUUUGCAAUGGUGUAUGCCCCUUCAGAAAAUUGUUAAAACAAAUAAAACUUUCAUACAAUUUACUCCUCCAUAUAUAUCGCACCUCUGGAGCAGCCAUUUAAAGCAUGGCAUUUAUUGCAUUUUAAGUAGUUUAUGAGAUGUUAUCUCGAUUAUUAAAACAUUAAAACUACUACUUUACCAUAAGCUACUACUAUGACAGUCUGUCGUAGUAGUAGCUUAUCAUUUGAAGAUAAAAAUUGAAAAGAUGCAUAUCAAACAAUAAAUUCUUUGUUAUAUUGUUUAAUUUCUGUUUUAUUAAUAUAAUAAUAGUUUAUUUUAGCAACUAUUAAGAAAAAGUAAAUAGAAAAUAAUCUAAACAUCCAUAAUAUUCAAUGACACUAAGCAAAGAGGUUUUAAUAUAUUAAUUUUUUACCAUCCAAACGUCCUCGUUUGCUAAUCGACGAGUUAUGUCCGGACGGCAAAUAAAAUUUGACGUAAAGUAUUUUCCACGAAUUAUCAUUUGAUGAACUGGAGAAAUUUUGUUUAGACCCUAUACCUACGUGGCUAGACUUGAAGUAUGCAGUCGUAUUAUGGCAAUUUUUCAUAGAGGAAGUAGUUCAAGAAGGAUUAACCAAUCCUACUCCAGCUUGUUGUAAUCCAAAAAAAAAGAGAGUUUUAUUGAAGAGGCCAGAAUUUUUGCUAUAAUUCGUAAGAAAAUAAUUAAAAGCAAAGAGACUUAAACUGCUUCAAAAAUGAAUUAUGUUGUGGGAGAAUAAGGCAUUUAAAUGAUGAAAGUAUUUUAUCUUCUCAAGAAUAUUAUUAUUUACAGUAUAUUACAGGCCAGAAGGAAAGAUGACAGCAUGCAAAAGAAUGGAUGUGUGGUCAAACGGUAUCAUUUUAAAUCUGUGACUAUCAAACCUAAGCCAAAAGGUACUUGGUAUUAGUGUAGUAACUAUCAAAAAUCUUAAAUUAUAAUUUACAUAUAUUUAUUAUAAAAACAAGUUAAAUAAAUUUAAUGUUUAAAAAAUUAGUCUAUACACAGAUAAGGAACAGGUGUACAGGCUCUCUGUUGAAAGAAUUAUUGGGCAAAUCUUAACCAAAUUUAUUACACACACCAUCCUGAGUAUGUAGUUCUGAUUUCCAGGAAAAAAUUUUAUUAAAAAAUUCGACCACUAGAGCAAACUUUGCCAUUGCCAAUUGCUUAAUGUGCUAUUAUCUACAUUUUCUCAUAUAUUUUGGGAGUUAGGAAAUAAGUAUGAUAAUUUUAUUUCAAUUACAGUUGUGGAAUGUGCAAUUGACAAUUACAUUAAAAAUAUGGCUCUAGAUCCUCCAUCUCCAUGCUCUAAAACUGCAUUCACUGCACAACAUACUUGACAACUGACCUGCUUGGAAUUAUUGCAUAUUGUGAAAUUCUGUCUUUUAAGACAGUUAGGUUGGGAACAUUGCCUUCAAAUGAGGCUCUGGGUAGCCUUUAUGGCUAUUCAUAGCCUCAUUUAUCAAGGCAGGAUUACCUGCCUUUACAGCUAGAUGCCAUAAAGGCAGAUAAUCCCAUUCCACCAGUUUCCAAAAUAGUCAUGGUGCUCUCCUUUGCAUUCUUUUUUAGCCCUAAAAGUAGCAGUGCUCUGAGGAGAGCCAGUAGCUCCUGCAUUUUUAUCUGGUAAAACCCUAGUGUAAAAUUUGUAGUUAUUUUGUUACUCUGGACAGUUUUCAAUUGAUCCGAUCACAAUUAUCGGUAGCAGUGGUAUACAAUAGAAGAUAUUCUCGAGCAAUGUAUAUCUGCUAAUAAAUGAAUCCAUUCAAGUAAAAAGAGCAUACAAUAGUAAGAAAGUAAUGAGUUGUAUAAGUAAUUACUACCAAUUAUUAGAAUAA